rnacentral:lncRNA from 13 species
CAAUGUAAGAACAAACUUUUCAUGACUCAACAAUAUCUUUUAAAGAGCACCUUUGGAUCAAGAGUUUUAGUGCAGGGCUUGUUUCUAUUCNNNNNNNNNNCGCUUGCUGUCAGUCUUAUCUCCCAACACUCCGAUGCAGAUUGGGAUUAUAGUGACUAGUAUUCUGACAUCCUGCUCUGGAAGAGGGACCGCUUGCUGUCAGUCUUAUCUCCCAACACUCCGAUGCAGAUUGGGAUUAUAGUGACUAGUAUUCUGACAUCCUGCUCUGGAAGAGGGACCGCUUGCUGCCCUUUGUCCAGCGGUCGAGGACCAACCCAGGUCAUCACAUUCAUUAGUGGGAAGCUGCUGCUGCCAUUGGUAGA